rnacentral:misc_RNA from 1 species
GAAACCAAAAAUUAUAGGUCUAUUCUAUAAGACUAGAAAUUGACACCAUCAAAUUCAUAACAAAAUAACAAUAAAAACUAUACUUCAUAUCUACAGCUCUGAGUGCACAUCCACCAUGUGUUUACAAACUAGAUGUGUUCGUUAAACUUCAAAAACUGAAUAUUAACUAUGAGAUAAGAAUACAAGAACUACCACAAGAAAUUAACCAUCAUCUUGUGUAAUUAAAUCACCCUGUGUGCUUGAGGCUUCCCUUAUUUGUACAGAAAUACUACAAAACUACUCAACGAGCAUGUUGCCAAGAUGAAAUUAGUUAACCAUCUCGCUCUGAAUGUUGCCUCAACACUUGACUGAACUAAACCUAAGCAGGGGUCUUGGUUGGUCACAUUGUGGAGUACGUGAUGGGUCUUCCAACUUAUCAAUUCCAUCUUGCAUUAUGACGCCGGUUGGCUCACUGAUAGUUCGAGAUAAAUUGUCUGCAAGCUCCUUAAGACCAGUCAAACUUGGAACUUCAGGAUAUGUGAGUGAACUACGAGCUCUCCCAGAAGGCUUAAGUUGAUCCUCCAGAGCUUUAGGCAU